rnacentral:lncRNA from 1 species
CUGAGGAGCAAGGAAGCCAGUCCAAGUCCCAAAGCUGAAGGACCUUGAGUCCAAUGUUUGAGGGCAGGAAGCAUCCAGCAUAUGGGAGAAAGAUGUAGGCUUGGAGGCUAAGCCAGUCUAAUCUUUUUUUUUUUUUUUGAGAUGGAGUUGCCCUCUGUCACCCAGGCUGGAGUGCAGUGGCGUGAUCUCAGCUCACUGCAACCUCCGCCUCCGCCUCGCAGUACCUGAGAUUACAGGUGCAUGCCAACACGGCUAAUUCUUGUAUUUUUAGUAGAUACAGGGUUUCACCAUGUUGGCCAGUUGGUCUGGAACGAACUCCUGACCUCAAGUGAUCCGCCCACCUCAGCCUCCGAAAGUUCUGCGAUUACAGGUGUGAGCCACUGUGCCUGGCCAAGCCUAAUCUUUCCACGUUCUUCUGCUUGCUUUUAUUCUAGUUACACUGUCAGCUGGUUAGAUGGUGCCCUCCCAGAUUGAAGGUAGAUCUGCGUUUCCCAGUCCACUGACUCAAAUGUUAAUCUCCUUUGGCAACGCCUUCACAGACACACCCAGAAUCAAUACAUUGCACCCUUCAAUCCAAUCAAGUUGACAUCCAGUAGUAACCAUCACAGAUGGCUAAUACGGGAGAUAUUCAUGAAGGGUCUGGGAAGGGGAUUUGGAAGAGAUAUGGACACAAAGGAAGGAGGAAAGAAAAGGGGAAGUGAGACGGGAACCAAACCAAACACCCUGUAUUGCACAAUUGAGCCUGGAGUUGGCCUGCUCGCCACAGAGCAGUCACAGGUUUUCAGGAUGCUUUAGUGAUAGCAGCCAUCAGUACCUCUCAUUAGGAGCAAAAGCCCUGAUUGGUAAUAGUAUAUUCUACUUAUUUAGAGAAUAAAAGUUCCCUGUUAGAACCAGCCUUCUCAGAAUGGCAUUCAGCUUUUCAGAAAAGCACAGCACCAGCAUAUUUCUUAUCUGCCUUGAAGGUUAUAAUAAAUCCCUUCUUCUGUUAAUUCAUAAAUCCUUCAGCCACAUGCCAUUUUGGGGCCAUAUGCUUUCUUUCCUCCCUCUAACCCUUGGAAAGAUCUUUCAUAUCCAAUCUCUGUAGAUAAUCUGAAUGUGAAAUCAGGUAUGGUUAUCUAAUCCCUCUAAUCAGAAGGUCAGCAGUUACCUGCAGCUUUUCCAUCUGUCCUCCAGCUGAAUGCUGCCAUUUAGUAAAUCAAAAAUUGGUUACAAAUUAGCAAAGCUGACUGGCUCAAUGAAAUCUAGCCUGGAGUCUUUGCUGGAAGGGGGGAAGUUUAAAUAUGGUUUGAAGGGAGAUUUGAGGUGAACUCUAUUUAUCAAAGCCGUGGAGUAGCAGCAUAAAAGAUGAGAGAUGUUCUCCUGGGUAAAAAUGUCAAAUCACAUGGGAAAUGGGAAUAUUUCACAUGGUGAUUACUGAAUUUUACAAUUGUUCGCAAAUUGAUUCAGCCCAGAAAUCAACUGGGAAGUCUCCCACAGGUGUCUAGCACUCUGCAGGUAUUAGCGUGAUACAGGGUAAGUCUCAAAGUACAAAAAAAAACACACAUGUGAAACAAUUUGCAAACAAUGAAGUGCUAACCUGUGUGGUGUGAAUUACAGAUGCAUUAGGACACCAGAAAAGGAAGAAAAGACAGUGGCAGCUGAAGACAUUUCAGGAAUGCUUCACUGAGAACCUAAGUCUUGUUCUGGGCCAUAAAGAAAAGGGGAGGGUGUGGUUUCUAUACCAGAGAUAAGAAAGGAGAAAAUUGGACGUGGAGGAAAGAUAUGAGUACCAAUCCGAGCGAACAAGGAAGAGUGAGUAAAUCUGUCCAGCUGGAGUUGGAGGUACAUUCUGGAAAAUGGUGAGAGAGGCUGUGUAGGGUAGGGGGACACGGAAAGAUGGGCCAAGACAUUUGGAGCUGAUAUUUGAUAUGGUUUGGCUGUGCCCCCACCCAAAUCUCAUCUUAAAUUGUAAUCCCCAUAAUCCCCACGUGUCGAGGGAGGGACCCGGUGGGAAGUGAUUGGAUCAUGGGGGCAGUUUUCCCCAUGGAAUUCUCGUGAUAGUGAGUGAGUUCUCACGAGAUCUCAUGGUUUUACAAGCGUCUGGUAUUUCACCUGAUUGCACUUCUCUCUUCUGCCUCCUAGUGAAAAAGGUGCCUGCUUCUCCUUCUGCCAUGAUUAUAAGUUUCCUGAGGCUUCCCCAGCCAUGCGUAACUGAGUGAGGACCUAGAAUUUUAAUGUCUAAUAUGCGGUGUGAAUUAAAGAAGCGGCCUUGCUAUGCUGACCUUUUCAAUAUUCUAAUCUUUGCUUUGCUGACCUCUCAGGCCUCUUCCUGGCAACAGUUAGGCUUUUGAGAGGAGAGAGAGCUGAGACUGUUGGCUCCUUCCCAUUUAUGAGAGAGCCACAUGACAUCAGCCCAUAGACUGUGGAGAGUAUUCCAGAUCUAUCACAUUCUGCGAUUCUGCGAUUCCCAGAAGGCUGGUCAUGAAAAAAUUCCCUCUUCAGUUUACAUAUAUGGCAGUGCUCCAGUGCCAUGACAGUUUUAAUCUUCUGGUUCCAUCUGCAUAGAUUUCAGUCUCUAAUUGAGGAAAAUCAUCUGUUUUUCUCAGGAGCCCCUUGAUUCAAGUUUACACAAAAUGUGCCUUUGGAGACUAUCCUGUUAAUUUAAACAGUUCAGAUCCCACUUGUAUGUGAGACAGAUGCUUCUCUGGCCAUCAGCCAGGUACCACUAAAGGAGGUACAGGCACUUCUAGAUAUCUGUUGAGGCCUGGAAGGGGCAAAACAAUUCAGGAAGCAGUUGAAGAUAAAGGGGUUUACCAUGGAAGAGAAGAUCCAGGUGCCUUCAUGGAAAUGCUUGUGGUUGAAAAGAGAUGAAGAUGAGGGUCCCUGGAAAGAGGAAGAACCAGCCAGGAAAAUUAUACCAUUAGCAAGACUGGCAUCAGCAAGUAGUUCGCAGUGUUGGUUGUUCUUGGUUUCGCAGGAUUUUAUAGGAGAUGGACCUUCUCCUAAAAGUCUUAUCUUCUAAGUCUCCUAAGUCUUGGACUUUUCAAGGCCAAAGAUUUAAAGGCCAAGUGGACCAUACGGGAGAUCUAGUUUCCCAUCCAGACAGCCAAGCUCAUGCAUCCCUGGAUUUGGAUGGAUGGUUUCCCAUGGGGCCUUGGACAGAUUGGACCCAGCACUGGCACAGGGUUGACUUGGAGGAAUAAGCUCCUGGAAACCUCAAUUAGCGUUUGGGGUAUGAACAUUAAACAAUACUGAAUCUGGAAACAAUACAUCACACAGCGGGUCCAAGGAAAUAAGCAGAAGGCUGGCAGCAGGCCAGGGCCAGGGGCCAAAUCGCUCCUCAAAGACAAUUCUUCAUGGAGAAAUGACAGCAGGUUUGAGGACAGCAGAAUUUCGCUCUUGUUGCCCAGGGCUGGAGUGCAAUGGUGCAAUCUCGGCUCACCACAACCACUGCCUCCUGGGUUCAAGCGAUUCUCCUGCCUCAGCCUCCUGAGUAGCUGGGAUUACAGGAAGUACAAAAACAUCCUUGCCGUUUGCUGGAAUGAUGUACUGCUGAAGGCAAUGGACACUGGGGUUGUUUGUCCCUAAUCACAAGUGAGCAAUACCAGAUCUAUUAUCUCAGGUUCAGAGAAGUGAGGUGUCUGACCUUCAGACAGGAUUGAAUGCAGAGUAAAAUAAUUCCAAAUAUGGUCUGGGCAUUGCAUGUAAUACAGAGUAAAAGUUAUUGUAAGACACUUUCGCCAGUUUCUGUCACUUGGUUCCUCAAAUGUUUAGUUCAUUCUAAUUACAUAAUCAGCCUUCUGAUUCAAUGAAGACUGAUGGGAUUGCUGACUUGCCACCCUGGAGUUCAGUUGGCAGCAAGUGAGGGAAAAGGUGAACUCUGUAAACAAGGUUUAGAAGCCCUUUUCUUAACUCUUUAUAAAACAGAGAAGAUGAGGAAGGAGAAAGGCACUGUCAUUAAGCUCUUAGCCAGGGAAUUACACAUACACACACGUGUGUGUGUGUGUAUUUCAACUCAAUGUACAAGGACUUCUCAGCCCAUAGCUACUUUGAACACAUUGUUUAUCCCCCAUAGCAUGAAGGACUAAAGGAACCAGAGAUUUCAUAAUCUCUGGCCUGUAACGUUUUUGCUGAAAUAUCUGCUGUUAUUCUAAUGGGGUUUCCUUUAAAGGUGACUAGUCACUCUUCUUUUGCUAAUUAAUUUUUUUUUUCACUUUGACUUUAGACAUUCUGAAUAUAAUAUGCUAUGAUGAAGCACUUUAUGCAAUGUAUAUUCCUGAGGAUUGCUGGGCCUCCUGUAACUAGAUGUCUGACUCUCUUGCUAGAUGUGGAAAGUUUUCAUCAAUUAUUUUCUUAAACAGGUUUUCUAAGCUUUUAAAUAAUCUUUCUUUCCCAUCAGGAAUACCAAUAAUUUCUAAUUUCAGUCACUUUAUGUAGUCCCAGACAUCUCAAAGGCUUUGUGCACUCCCUUUUAUACUUUUUUGUUGUCGUUAUCUUUGUCUUACUGGAUUAUUUCAAAAGACUUAUCUUCAAGUUCUGAGAUUCUUUCUUCUGCUUGAUCUAUUCUGUUAUUGAAGCUUUCAAAUACAUUUUGCAUUUCCUUCAAUAGUUUUUUUAGGUUUAGAUUUUCUGCUUUUGCUUUAUAAGAUACCCAUCUCCUUGAUACAUUUCUCAUUAAUAUCCUGAGUUAAUUUUCUAAUUUCUUGAAGUUGGCCCAAGGGUGGAAUGCAGCCCCGUGUUAAACUCUCAAAACUGUGCCUUGGGCCUGUGACCAGACAGAGCAGAUUUCUUCUCAAGUAAGUAGCAUAGAAAAGAGAGAUCCAAAUAAACACAAUCAUAAAUGAAAAAGGAGACAUUAUAGCUGAUAACACAGAGGCACAAAGAUCAUCAGAGACUAUUAUAAAUAACUAUAUGAUCACAAACC